AUUGAACGCUGGCGGCAUGCCUUACACAUGCAAGUCGAACGGCAGCACGGGAGCAAUCCUGGUGGCGAGUGGCGAACGGGUGAGUAAUAUAUCGGAACGUGCCCAGUCGUGGGGGAUAACGUAGCGAAAGCUACGCUAAUACCGCAUACGAUCUAUGGAUGAAAGCGGGGGGAUCGCAAGACCUCGCGCGAUUGGAGCGGCCGAUAUCAGAUUAGGUAGUUGGUGAGGUAAAGGCUCGCCAAGCCGACGAUCUGUAGCUGGUCUGAGAGGACGACCAGCCACACUGGGACUGAGACACGGCCCCAGACUCCUACGGGAGGCAGCAGUGGGGGAAUUUUUGGGACAAUGGGCGCAAGCCUGAUCCAGCAAUGCCGCGUGCAGGAUGAAGCCUGUGUAACUGCUUUGUACGGUACGAAACGGU
rnacentral:rRNA from 1 species